ACUCCUACGGGAGGCAGCAGUGAGGAAUAUUGCACAAUGGAGGGAACUCUGAUGCAGCAACGCCGCGUGGAGGAUGACGCAUUUCGGGGUGUAAACUCCUUUUAUAUGUCAAGAAAAUGACGGUAGCAUAUGAAUAAGCACCGGCUAACUCCGUGCCAGCAGCCGCGGUAAU
rnacentral:rRNA from 1 species